rnacentral:rRNA from 1 species
GUGGGGAAUAUUGCACAAUGGGCGCAAGCCUGAUGCAGCGACGCCGCGUGAGGGAUGGAGGCCUUCGGGUUGUAAACCUCUUUUAUCGGGGAGCAAGCGAGAGUGAGUUUACCCGUUGAAUAAGCACCGGCUAACUACGUGCCAGCAGCCGCGGUAAUACGUAGGGUGCAAGCGUUAUCCGGAAUUAUUGGGCGUAAAGGGCUCGUAGGCGGUUCGUCGCGUCCGGUGUGAAAGUCCAUCGCUUAACGGUGGAUCCGAGCCGGGUACGGGCGGGCUUGAGUGCGGUAGGGGAGACUGGAAUUCCCGGUGUAACGGUGGAAUGUGUAGAUAUCGGGAAGAACACCAAUGGCGAAGGCAGGUCUCUGGGCCGUUACUGACGCUGAGGAGCGAAAGCGUGGGGAGCGAACAGGAUUAGAAACCCCUGUAGUCC